AGAUUGAACGCUGGCGGCAUGCCUUACACAUGCAAGUCGAACGGCAGCACGGGAGCAAUCCUGGUGGCGAGUGGCGAACGGGUGAGUAAUACAUCGGAACGUGCCCAAUCGUGGGGGAUAACGCAGCGAAAGCUGUGCUAAUACCGCAUAAGAUCUACGGAUGAAAGCGAGGGGAUCGACAAGACCUUGCGACGAAUGGAGCGGCCGAUGGCAGAGUUAGGUAGGUUGGUGGAAGGUAAAGGCUCAACCAAGCCUUCGAUCUUGUAGCUGGUCUGGACGAGGACGACC
rnacentral:rRNA from 1 species